rnacentral:tRNA from 1 species
GCCUUCGUGGUGUAAUGGUCAGCACUUUGACCGCGUAUUCCAGCGGUCGCUGGUUCGAAUCCCGGCGAAGGCG